rnacentral:rRNA from 1 species
GGGCCCGCACAAGCGGUGGAGCAUGUGGUUUAAUUCGAUGAUACGCGAGGAACCUUACCAGGGCUUAAAUGCAGAACGACAGAGGUGGAAACACCUCCUUCUUCGGACGGUCUGCAAGGUGCUGCAUGGUUGUCGUCAGCUCGUGCUGUGAAGUGUCGGGUUAAGUCCCAUAACGAGCGCAACCCCUAUUUCUAGUUGCCAGCGGUUCGGCCGGGGACUCUAGAGAAACUGCCAGCGUAAGCUGUGAGGAAGGUGGGGAUGACGUCAAAUCAUCACGGCCCUUACGUCCUGGGCUACACACGUGCUACAAUGGUAGGGACAGAGAGUUGCCAACCCGCGAGGGUGAGCUAAUCUUCAAAACCGAUCUCAGUUCGGAUCGCAGUCUGCAACUCGACUGCGUGAAGCUGGAAUCGCUAGUAAUCGGAUAUC